rnacentral:rRNA from 1 species
AACGAACGCUGGCGGCGUGGAUAAGACAUGCAAGUCGAACAGGACAAGUAGCAAUAUUUGUCUAGUGGCGAACGGGUGCGUAACACGUGGGCAACAUGCCUGGAAGAGCGGGAUAGCCCGGGGAAACUCGGAUUAAUACCGCAUGUGACAACGGGGCGGAUUCGCCCUGUUUUCAAAGGUGGGGACCGCAAGGCCUGCCGCUUCCAGAUUGGCCCGCGUCCUAUCAGCUAGUUGGCGGGGUAACGGCCCACCAAGGGGACGACGGGUAGCUGGGCUGAGAGGACGACCAGCCACACUGGAACUGAGACACGGUCCAGACACCUACGGGUGGCAGCAGUCGGGGAUCUUUCACAAUGGGGGAAACCCUGAUGGAGCGACGCCGCGUGGAGGAUGACGGUCUUCGGAUUGUAAACUCCUGUCAUGAAAGAACAAGCGGAGCGGGUGAACAGCCCGCCGAGUUGAUAGUAUUUCAAGAGGAAGGGACGGCUAACUUCGUGCCAGCCGCCGCAGUAACAC